rnacentral:rRNA from 1 species
UUGCAGAAUUCAGUGAAUCAUCUGAAUCUUUGAACGCACCUUGCGCCCUCUGGCUAUUCCCGGAGGGCAUGCCUGUUUGAGUAUCGUG